rnacentral:tRNA from 1 species
GGCCCCUUAGCUCAGCUGGAUAGAGCAUCGGCCUUCUAAGCCGGUUGUCGGUGGUUCGAACCCACCAGGGGUCA